AUUGAACGCUGGCGGCGUGCUUAACACAUGCAAGUCGAGCGGUAACAGGUGUAGCAAUACAUGCUGACGAGCGGCGAACGGGUGAGUAAUGCUUCGGAAUCUUCCUCGUAGUGGGGAACAACCUGGGGAAACUCAGGCUAAUACCGCAUACGAACUACGGUUGAAAGCAGGGGAUCGCAAGACCUUGCGCUAUGAGAUGAGCCGAAGUCGGAUUAGCUAGUUGGUGAGGUAAAGGCUCACCAAGGCGACGAUCCGUAGCUGGUCUGAGAGGACGACCAGCCACACUGGAACUGAGACACGGUCCAGACUCCUACGGGAGGCAGCAGUGGGGAAUUUUGGACAAUGGGCGCAAGCCUGAUCCAGCCAUGCCGCGUGAGUGAAGAAGGCCUCGG
rnacentral:rRNA from 1 species